AUGGAGCGAGUGUGCCACUCGGAUAGACGGAUCCGAAUGCCGACGACGAGCGGGACUGGACGUAAAGGAACACUCACAAUGCGGUGACGAAUGGUUCUGUGCUGUUUAGAUCGCAGAUAACGCUAUUUGGAUGGCAUUAAGGAAUUUAGUCCUUUGUCAUCCAAAGAGGAUGAUGGUGUUGGGAUUUAUGCAUUUCUUAUAGCGUUAUUUGUGGCGCAUCGUUUGAUUAUAACCUAUGAGUUUCCUGCAGUUUCCUAUGAUUCGUAGAAGUUUAUUUUUGCAGGUGAUGGCGUCCAGAUGUAUGAGUCUUUCGUAACGUUAUUAUUCAAAUUCAUCGAAACGAAACUACAUGCGUGAAGAAAACGAAACCUUCCACGAGAAUUGUUCCAUGAAAAAGUCCAUAUGCAUUUACAAAACGAUUAUGUGGAAGGGGAGUGGAAGUUAUCUGCCCAGUCUCACCGCCAUAAGUACACUGUAAUGCAGCCUCUCUUAUCGGCCUUAUUAAUCAUUCAACGAGUGUAACAUGGUUGCAUGAAAUAGAAAGAACGUAUCGCGCAAUUGUACGUAACGAGAAGGUUAACAAAUUGUACGGCUAAGGAUGUCAUCUAUCAGAUCGACUCGUGUUACGAUUAUCACACAAUCUGUCUCGAGACUCGUGUCCAACGUUCUUUACGUCUCUUUCAGCAAUAACGUAACUCGCAUACAUCAUCGUAGGGUAUUCCUUUGACAAGGAAAAUUCAAAUGAGGUUAUGAACUAAGCCUGAAAAGGAUUUUGAAUGUAUAGAAAUUAACCUAUAGCGAAUGAUAGAUACUUUGUAAUUUAAAGACACUCAAUUUUCAGAGAAAAAUUUACAAAGAAUAUGCUUAUAACUCUCCAGACUAAGAAAUCAAUUUUUCAAUGUGAACAAAUAUUAUUAGAAUAACAAACAUCCUAAAUUAAAAUAAAAACAGAAAAAUGUGCGACGAAUAAUUUGCGAAAUAAAAGUCUACAAGUACAGCACGUUCUCAUAAUAGACAGAAAUUACAAAAUUCAAGAUUCCGUAUCUGUUAAACAAAUCAGAAACUAGUAAAAUUAAACUCGCCUUAAUUUCACGUUUAAUCCAUCAUAUUUUAUUUUGAAAAAGAUGCCUAAUACCAAAGCCAAUUUACUAUGAAAUCUUUUGCUAUUCGAACAUUGUAACAGCAAAAGUUUUAGAAU
rnacentral:lncRNA from 1 species